rnacentral:tRNA from 1 species
GCCCCUGUGGCUCAGUGGUAGAGCGCGUGCUUGGUAAGCACGAGGCCGCGGGUUCAAUUCCCGCCGGGGGCU